rnacentral:rRNA from 1 species
AACGACGGCCAGUGAAUUGUAAUACGACUCACUAUAGGGCGAAUUGGGCCCGACGUCGCAUGCUCCCGGCCGCCAUGGCGGCCGCGGGAAUUCGAUUGAUGCAUUCAACGAGCCUAUCCUUGGCCGACAGGCCCGGGUAAUCUUUGAAACUGCAUCGUGAUGGGGAUAGAUUAUUGCAAUUAUUAAUCUUCAACGAGGAAUGCCUAGUAAGCGCGAGUCAUCAGCUCGCGUUGAUUACGUCCCUGCCCUUUGUACACACCGCCCGUCGCUCCUACCGAUUGGGUGUGCUGGUGAAGCGUUCGGAUUGGCGUUAGUGGGCGGUUUUCCGCCUCCUCUCGCUGAGAAGUUCGUUAAACCCUCCCACCUAGAGGAAGGAGAAGUCGUAACAAGGUUUCCGUAGGUGAACCUGCGGAAGGAUCAUUG